rnacentral:rRNA from 1 species
AGCAUUGGGAAUUUGCGUCCKGUGUGGACCGUAGUCAUGGUUCCGUUUCUCAGGCACCCUCUCCGGAAUCGAACCCCAAUCCUCCGUUACCCGUCAGAGGCAAGGUAGUCCACUACACUACCUUCAACCUGAUAGGUGGUGAAUUCGUCCAACACCGCGCCGAAGCGCUUCCGUACAUUGGCCUGCGUCAACAA